rnacentral:lncRNA from 1 species
CCCUGAUGACACAUGCUGACCUCUUCAGUGGGCUCUGAGAGAGAUCCAGAGAAGGUUCUGAGCUCCUAUGAUUCACAGGUGGGGUUUUCUCCCCUGCGCCCUGGGGCUGUGUGUGUGGUGGGGCUGAGGCAAAGGGUAUUCCCCUGCUUUGUGGCUCAGGACCGCAAGGGUCACAGGAUCUGAUUCACCUGCCUUGGGUUUCCCUAAGGUUCUCGUCAGGCUUCCCAUGUAGAGCAGAGUUCUGGCCCUUGGCUUGGCGAUGUGCUUUGGUCUGGAGUUACAUGGUGCUCUGCAGAUGGAAGGUCGGGCUGAGUAGAUGUGAGAGUCGUGCUCGGCAGUCUCCAGGGCUGGCUUUCCUGGUCCCUGUGCAUUGUCGGGUGCUCCAGCCCCGAGCUUUGGCUCCUGGACAGUGCUCUGGUUGAGGCUGUCCGUGUUGAGCAGGUUCCUACAAAAAUAAGCCCAGAGUCUAAGGUGUUCUUCCGCUUGCUGAGUUCCUCUGUGUUAAGCCCUUCCAGCCUCUGCUUCCUGCCCUGCGGGGUCCUCAUUAGAUAAAAUGACCCUCUGCAAUAACCUGUUCCUUCCUUCCUUUUCUUAUAUGGGGGGGGGGAAACCCCCGUCAUUUUAUAGGCUCUGAAUCUGUAAAUGAGCAUCCGAAAGCCUACUGUGGGUGUUUUCACAUUAACCAAAAUAA